rnacentral:rRNA from 1 species
AAAGUGCCGUAAACAAGGUCUCCGUUGGUGAACCAGCGGAGGGAUCAUUACAGAGUUGCAAAACUCCCAAACCAUUGUGAACGUUACCCAUCCCGUUGCUUCGGCGGGCGGCCCGGGCCCCGUGCCCGGCGCCCCCCGGCCCCUCGCGGGCGCCCGCCGGAGGUAAACCAAACUCUUGAAUUGUAUGGCCUCUCUGAGUCUUCUGUACUGAAUAAGUCAAAACUUUCAACAACGGAUCUCUUGGUUCUGGCAUCGAUGAAGAACGCAGCGAAAUGCGAUAAGUAAUGUGAAUUGCAGAAUUCAGUGAAUCAUCGAAUCUUUGAACGCACAUUGCGCCCGCCAGUAUUCUGGCGGGCAUGCCUGUUCGAGCGUCAUUUCAACCAUCAAGCCCCCGGCUUGUGUUGGGGACCUGCGGCUGCCGCAGGCCCUGAAAACCAGUGGCGGGCUCGCUAGUCACUCCGAGCGUAGUAGUUACAUCUCGCUCAGGGCGUGCUGCGGGUUCCGGCCGUUAAAAAGCCUUAUUUACCCCAAGGUUGACCUCGGAUCAGGUAGGAAGACCCGCUGAACUUAAGCAUAUCAAUAA